rnacentral:rRNA from 1 species
GUGAGGAAUAUUGGUCAAUGGGCGCAAGCCUGAACCAGCCAUGCCGCGUGCAGGAAGACGGUCCUAUGGAUUGUAAACUGCUUUUAUUUGGGAAUAAACUCCGGUACGUGUACCGGCCUGAAGGUACCAAAUGAAUAAGCACCGGCUAACUCCGUGCCAGCAGCCGCGGUAAUACGGAGGGUGCAAGCGUUAUCCGGAAUCAUUGGGUUUAACGGGUCCGCAGGCCGUCUUAUAAGUCAGUGGUGAAAGCCUACAGCUCAACUGUAGAACUGCCAUUGAUGCUGUAGGACUUGAAUUCGAUCGAAGUGGGCGGAAUGUGACAUGUAGCGGUGAAAUGCUUAGAUAUGUCACAGAACACCGAUAGCGAAGGCAGCUCACUAGGUCUGGAUUGACGCUCAGGGACGAAAGCGUGGGGAGCAAACAGGAUUAGAUACCCCUGUAGUCC